UGGAGAGUUUGAUCCUGGCUCAGGACGAACGCUGGCGGCGUGCUUGAACACAUGCAAGUCGAACGGAAAGGCCCCUUCGGGGGUACUCGAGUGGCGAACGGGUGAGUAACACGUGGGUAAUCUGCCCUGCACUUCGGGAUAAGCCUGGGAAACUGGGUCUAAUACCGGAUAGGACCCCGAGGCGCAUGCCUUGGGGUGGAAAGCUUUUGCGGUGUGGGAUGGGCCCGCGGCCUAUCAGCUUGUUGGUGGGGUGACGGCCUACCAAGGCGACGACGGGUAGCCGGCCUGAGAGGGUGUCCGGCCACACUGGGACUGAGAUACGGCCCAGACUCCUACGGGAGGCAGCAGUGGGGAAUAUUGCACAAUGGGCGCAAGCCUGAUGCAGCGACGCCGCGUGGGGGAUGACGGCCUUCGGGUUGUAAACCUCUUUCACCAUCGACGAAGGUCCGGGUUUUCUCGGAUUGACGGUAGGUGGAGAAGAAGCACCGGCCAACUACGUGCCAGCAGCCGCGGUA
rnacentral:rRNA from 1 species